UACGUAGGGCGCAAGCGUUGUCCGGAAUUAUUGGGCGUAAAGAGCUCGUAGGUGGCUUGUCACGUCGGGUGUGAAAGCUUGGGGCUUAACUCCAGGUCUGCAUUCGAUACGGGCUGGCUAGAGGUAGGUAGGGGAGAACGGAAUUCCUGGUGUAGCGGUGAAAUGCGCAGAUAUCAGGAGGAACACCGGUGGCGAAGGCGGUUCUCUGGGCUAUGGCUGACACUGAGGCGCGACAGCGUGGGGAGCAAACAGG
rnacentral:rRNA from 1 species